GGAAUGUCGAAGUACAGAGAGACCACGGGGUUAUUGAUUAAACAAGGGGACUCCUGUAUUAUGUUGAAAAGAAUUGCUCAAAAGCUGUUUACACUCCUGAACGGAAAUAUGUAUGUAUCGCUGGGAGGUAUCUCCAAGGUGCUCGCUUAUUUGGCAACUCAAGUGGAAGUGUUGAUUCUGCAAUUCCAAUAGAGAGUUUAGAACCCUCAUCAGAGGUUGCUGUUAUAAAUGAUGUGAGCACUUCAACAUCAACCACACCCACUUUGAGUGCACGCUUCGUGGGGCAAG